rnacentral:rRNA from 1 species
GAUUAACGCUGGCGGCAUGCCUAAUGCAUGCAAGUAGAACGAGGUUUGUAGCAAUACAAACUUAGUUGCGAACGGCUGAGUAAUGGAUAGGAAUCUCCCCAAUGGUGUGGAAUACCUCAUCGAAAGAUGAGCUAAUACCGCAUAAGAUACGUGCUUUGCACUUAGUACAUAGUACAGAGUACUUAGUACCUAGAAACACAAAACUUUCUAUGUACUUUGUACUAAUUCCUGUGUACUACAUGCAGGGCAUGUAUGAAAGCGCUUAACUGCGCACCGAUGGAUGAGCCUAUCUCCCAUCAGGCUGUUGGUAGGGUAAUGGCCUACCAAACCUAUGACGGGUAGGGGGCGUGAGAGCGCGUUCCCCCAGAAUGGGACUGAGACACGGCCCAUACACCUACGGGUGGCAGCAACAGGGAAUCGUACACAAUGGACGAAAGUCUGAUGUCGCAAUGCCGCGUGGAGGAUGAAGGCCUUCGGGUUGUAAACUCCUUUUACAGUAAUAGAGAUGUUAUUGAGAAUAAGCACCUGCUAACUCUGUGCCAGCAGCCGCGGUAAUACAGAGGGUGCAAGCGUUAUCCGGAUUUAUUGGGCGUAAAGCGUUUCGUAGGUUCUAGGUAAGUUAUUCUUCAAAGACCACGGCUCAACCGGGGUAGGGGAGUAAGACUAUCUGGAUUGAAAUAUGGUGGGGCUUCCGGAACUGAUGGUGUAGUAGUAAAUACGUUGAUAUCAUCAGGAACUCCGAGGGCGAAGGCAGGAAGCUUAACCAUUUUUUGACACUGAGGAACGACAGCUAGGGGAGCGAAAGGGAUUAGAGACCCCUGUAGUCCUAGCCGUAAACUUUGCUCGCUAGGGGUUGUGAUUUAUCACUAGCCCCGUAAGCUAACGCGUUAAGCGAGCCGCCUGGGGAGUACGGCCGCAAGGCUAAAACUCAAAGGAAUUGACGGGGACCUGCACAACCAGUGGAGCAUGUGGUUUAAUUCGAGACGAAACGAAAGACCUCACCCAGCCUUGACAUGAUACCGUUUUAGGCGACCAGAAAUGGACGCCGAUCUUUAGAAAUAUUGAUGGUACCACAGGUGCUGCAUGGCCGUCGUCAGCUCGUGCCGUAGGGUGUUCCCUUCAGUGGGGUAACGAGCGCAACCCUUGCCACAAGUUGAAUAUUCUUGUGGGACUCCCUAAACUUAUUUUAGGGGGAAGUGAGGACGACGUCAGGUCAGCAUGGCCCUUAUAGCUGGGGCGACACACACACUACAAUGGAGCCGACAGAGGGUUGCCAAGCCGCAAGGUGGAGCUUAAUCCCAA